rnacentral:rRNA from 1 species
UAGGGAAUCUUCGGCAAUGGGGGGAACCCUGACCGAGCAACGCCGCGUGAGUGAAGAAGGUUUUCGGAUCGUAAAGCUCUGUUGUUAAGGAAGAACGAGUGUGAGAAUGGAAAGUUCAUACUGUGACGGUACUUAACCAGAAAGGGACGGCUAACUACGUGCCAGCAGCCGCGGUAAUACGUAGGUCCCGAGCGUUGUCCGGAUUUAUUGGGCGUAAAGCGAGCGCAGGCGGUUAGAUAAGUCUGAAGUUAAAGGCAGUGGCUCAACCAUUGUAGGCUUUGGAAACUGUUUAACUUGAGUGCAGAAGGGGAGAGUGGAAUUCCAUGUGUAGCGGUGAAAUGCGUAGAUAUAUGGAGGAACACCGGUGGCGAAAGCGGCUCUCUGGUCUGUAACUGACGCUGAGGCUCGAAAGCGUGGGGAGCGAACAGGAUUAGAUACCCUGGUAGUCCACGCCGUAACGAUGAGUGCUAGGUGUUAGGUCCUUUCCGGGACUUAGUGCCGCAGCUAACGCAUUAAGCACUCCGCCUGGGGAGUACGACCGCAAGGUUG